rnacentral:rRNA from 1 species
AUUGAACGCUGGCGGCAGGCCUAACACAUGCAAGUCGAACGGUAACAGGAAGCAGCUUGCUGCUUCGCUGACGAGUGGCGGACCGGUGAGUAAUGUCUGGGAAGCUGCCUGAUGGAGGGGGAUAACUACUGGAAACGGUAGCUAAUACCGCAUAAUGUCGCAAGACCAAAGAGGGGGACCUUCGGGCCUCUUGCCAUCGGAUGUGCCCAGAUGGGAUUAGCUUGUUGGUGGGGUAACGGCUCACCAAGGCGACGAUCCCUAGCUGGUCUGAGAGGAUGACCAGCCACACUGGAACUGAGACACGGUCCAGACUCCUACGGGAGGCAGCAGUGGGGAAUAUUGCACAAUGGGCGCAAGCCUGAUGCAGCCAUGCCGCGUGUAUGAAGAAGGCCUUCGGGUUGUAAAGUACUUUCAGCGGGGAGGAAGGGAGUAAAGUUAAUACCUUUGCUCAUUGACGUUACCCGCAGAAGAAGCACCGGCUAACUCCGUG